rnacentral:rRNA from 1 species
GAUGAACGCUGGCGGCGUGCCUAAUACAUGCAAGUCGAGCGAACAGACGAGGAGCUUGCUCCUCUGACGUUAGCGGCGGACGGGUGAGUAACACGUGGAUAACCUACCUAUAAGACUGGGAUAACUUCGGGAAGCCGGAGCUAAUACCGGAUAAUAUAUUGAACCGCAUGGUUCAAUAGUGAAAGACGGUUUUGCUGUCACUUAUAGAUGGAUCCGCGCCGCAUUAGCUAGUUGGUAAGGUAACGGCUUACCAAGGCAACGAUGCGUAGCCGACCUGAGAGGGUGAUCGGCCACACUGGAACUGAGACACGGUCCAGACUCCUACGGGAGGCAGCAGUAGGGAAUCUUCCGCAAUGGGCGAAAGCCUGACGGAGCAACGCCGCGUGAGUGAUGAAGGUCUUCGGAUCGUAAAACUCUGUUAUUAGGGAAGAACAAAUGUGUAAGUAACUAUGCACGUCUUGACGGUACCUAAGCAGAAAGCCACGGCUAACUACGU